rnacentral:rRNA from 1 species
CGGCGUGCUUAACACAUGCAAGUCGAGCGAGAAACCUUCGGGUUUCUAGCGGCGGACGGGUGAGUAACACGUGGGUAACCUGCCUCAAAGAGGGGAAUAGCCUCCCGAAAGGGAGAUUAAUACCGCAUAAUAUUAAAGUUUCACAUGGAGCUUUAAUUAAAGGAGUAAUCCGCUUUGAGAUGGACCCGCGGCGCAUUAGCUAGUUGGAGAGGUAACGGCUUCACCAAGGCGACGAUGCGUGGCCGACCUGAGAGGGUGAUCGGCCACAUUGGAACUGAGACACGGUCCAGACUCCUACGGGAGGCAGCAGUGGGGAAUAUUGCACAAUGGGCGAAAGCCUGAUGCAGCAACGCCGCGUGAGUGAUGACGGUCUUCGGAUUGUAAAGCUCUGUCUUUUGGGACGAUAAUGACGGUACCAAAGGAGGAAGCCACGGCUAACUACGUGCCAGCAGCCGCGGUAAUACGUAGGUGGCAAGCGUUGUCCGGAUUUANUGGGCGUAAAGGAUGUGUAGGCGGAUACUUAAGUGAGAUGUGAAAGCCCCGGGCUCAACCUGGGGACUGCAUUUCAAACUGGGUAUCUAGAGUGCAGGA